rnacentral:rRNA from 1 species
UACGUAGGGUGCGAGCGUUGUCCGGAAUUACUGGGCGUAAAGAGCUCGUAGGUGGUUUGUCGCGUCGUUUGUGUAAGUCUACGGCUUAACUGUGGGAUGGCAGGCGAUACGGGCAUAACUUGAGUGCUGUAGGGGAGACUGGAAUUCCUGGUGUAGCGGUGAAAUGCGCAGAUAUCAGGAGGAACACCGAUGGCGAAGGCAGGUCUCUGGGCAGUAACUGACGCUGAGGAGCGAAAGCAUGGGUAGCGAACAGG